GCCGGUUUAGCUCAGCUGGAAGAGCUGCGAUUUUGUAAAUCGAGGGUCACGGGUUCGAGUCCUGUAGCCGGCACCA
rnacentral:tRNA from 1 species